rfam:Culex pipiens quinquefasciatus supercont3.10 genomic scaffold, whole genome shotgun sequence.
AAGACUGUGCUUCACAGGAUCAUUUCUGUAGGCAAGUUUUCACCACAAGUUUUUUCCGAAAGGAAAAGAUUUCCCACCCACGAUGAUGAGACAUAGUGGCCCGUCUGGAGCGUGAAAAUUGGCUCGGUUUGUGCUUCGCCCGUUUACGGCGAAGCCCCGAGCCGCUGAUGAUCGUGCUCUCUUGCGAUGGCGGGCCGCGGUCUGAGUGGU